AAAGUCGUAACAAGGUUUUCGUAGGUGAACCUGCGGAAGGAUCAUCACUGUGCUCCCGAUAGCAUACGUGUUCCUGUGCACCUGGUGGGGGGUGGGCGCCGUCAGGCGCUGAGGAUCACGCCGCGAGGCGUGGUUUGCUGUGGCACUGCGGGAGCUGCUUGCUGCGCCGGCAGGCGCAGUGUGGAUCGUGCCGCGAGGCAUGGUUGUGGCACCGCGGGAGCUGCUUGCGUGUCCUGGCCCCCACUCACCAUAUCCUUACACACGCCAUCUGAAAAAACACUCGUAAACUAAUACAACUUUCAACAAUGGAUCUCUUGGCUCUC
rnacentral:misc_RNA from 1 species